UCCUUUGAGAUUAGCGGCGGACGGGUGAGUAACACGUGGGCAACCUGCCUAUAAGACUGGGAUAACUUCGGGAAACCGGAGCUAAUACCGGAUACGUUCUUUUCUCGCAUGAGAGAAGAUGGAAAGACGGUUUGGCUGUCACUUAUAGAUGGGCCCGCGGCGCAUUAGCUAGUUGGUGAGGUAAUGGCUCACCAAGGCGACGAUGCGUAGCCGACCUGAGAGGGUGAUCGGCCACACUGGGACUGAGACACGGCCCAGACUCCUACGGGAGGCAGCAGUAGGGAAUCUUCCGCAAUGGACGAAAGUCUGACGGAGCAACGCCGCGUGAACGAAGAAGGCCUUCGGGUCGUAAAGGUCUGUUGUUAGGGAAGAAC
rnacentral:rRNA from 1 species